AACGAACGCUGGCGGCAUGCCUAACACAUGCAAGUCGAACGAGACCUUCGGGUCUAGUGGCGCACGGGUGCGUAACGCGUGGGAACCUUCCCUUAGGUUCGGAAUAACUCCCCGAAAGGGGUGCUAAUACCGGAUAAUGUCUUCGGACCAAAGAUUUAUCGCAUUUGGAUGGGCCCGCGUUAGAUUAGCUAGUUGGUAGGGUAAAAGCCUACCAAGGCGACGAUCCAUAGCUGGUCUGAGAGGGUGACCAGCCACACUGGGACUGAGACACGGCCCAGACUCCUACGGGGGGCAGCAGUGGGGAAUAUUGCACAAUGGGCGGAAGCCUGAUGCAGCAACGCCGCGUGCGGGAUGACGGCCUUCGGGUUGUAAACCGCUUUCGCCUGUGACGAAGCGUGAGUGACGGUAAUGGGUAAAGAAGCACCGGCUAACUACGUG
rnacentral:rRNA from 1 species